AGAAUCCACUCCAUCAAAAUAUUUUCUACACAUACUCCCACCUCCGAUUGGAUUCCUUCUGUGUGGCAUCACGCUAGCUGUCUUCCUCUACAGGGUCACUGUGACUCACACUAGCUGUCUUCCUCUAUAGAAUCAGUACAGAUGAACAGCGGUCGAGUAUUUCUCCUACAGCAUUCACACUACCCCUGCAGUUGCACUUGAAAUGAGAGGAGUAAGAACGCAGAAUUAAUUUGACUACAAUCUGCUAUCUACUGACAUCUAGUGCUCCUCCUCAGAUAUCAAUAAAGCUGACAGUAAAGUUCAGGUCUGUUUCUCUCUGUCUGACGAUCAUGAUGCUCACGAUAAAC